rnacentral:rRNA from 1 species
UACAGAGGGUGCGAGCGUUAAUCGGAAUUACUGGGCGUAAAGGGCGCGUAGGCGGUGUAUUAAGUUAGAUGUGAAAUCCCUGGGCUUAACCUAGGAACUGCAUCUGAUACUGGUACGCUAGAGUGCAGUAGAGGGUAGUGGAAUUUCCGGUGUAGCGGUGGAAUGCGCAGAUAUCAGGAGGAACACCGGUGGCGAAGGCGGAUCUCUGGGCCAUAACUGACGCUGAGGAGCGAAAGCAUGGGGAGCGAACAGG